rnacentral:sRNA from 1 species
CGGCAGAGCUGCUUGCGCCUUUCAUUGGCGACAUUGCUGCCGAAGGGAUCGGUAAAGCCAUUCAUGGCGGUACGUCUUUUCUUCGCAAGAGUCUGCAACGACAGCAACGCUAUGCGGCGGAAGUGCUGACUGAAGAGUGGCGUAUGGCCCCUGGCGCGCUUGAAGUUGCAUGGUUUGCGGAAGAGACCGCAGCGGUUGAACGCGCGGUGGAUGCCUUAACCAAACGGCUGGAAAAACUGGAGGGCAAAUGA